AGUGAACGCUGGCGGUAGGCCUAACACAUGCAAGUCGAACGGCAGCACAGUAAGAGCUUGCUCUUACGGGUGGCGAGUGGCGGACGGGUGAGGAAUACAUCGGAAUCUACUUUUUCGUGGGGGAUAACGUAGGGAAACUUACGCUAAUACCGCAUACGACCUACGGGUGAAAGCAGGGGAUCUUCGGACCUUGCGCGAUUGAAUGAGCCGAUGUCGGAUUAGCUAGUUGGCGGGGUAAAGGCCCACCAAGGCGACGAUCCGUAGCUGGUCUGAGAGGAUGAUCAGCCACACUGGAACUGAGACACGGUCCAGACUCCUACGGGAGGCAGCAGUGGGGAAUAUUGGACAAUGGGCGCAAGCCUGAUCCGGCCAUACCGCGUGGGUGAAGAAGGCCUUCGGGUUGUAAAGCCCUUUUGUUGGGAAAGAAAAGCAGCAGGUUAAUACCCCGCUGUUCUGACGGUACCCAAAGAAUAAGCACCGGCGAACUUCGU
rnacentral:rRNA from 1 species